GUGCCAGCCGCCGCGGUAAUACGUAGGUGGCAAGCGUUGUCCGGAUUUAUUGGGCGUAAAGCGAGCGCAGGCGGUUUCUUAAGUCUGAUGUGAAAGCCUUCGGCUCAACCGAAGAAGUGCAUCGGAAACUGGGAAACUUGAGUGCAGAAGAGGACAGUGGAACUCCAUGUGUAGCGGUGAAAUGCGUAGAUAUAUGGAAGAACACCAGUGGCGAAGGCGGCUGUCUGGUCUGUAACUGACGCUGAGGCUCGAAAGCAUGGGUAGCAAACAGGAUUAGAUACCCUGGUAGUCCAUGCCGUAAACGAUGAGUGCUAGGUGUUGGAGGGUUUCCGCCCUUCAGUGCCGCAGCUAACGCAUUAAGCACUCCGCCUGGGGAGUACGACCGCAAGGUUGAAACUCAAAGGAAUUGACGGGGGCCCGCACAAGCGGUGGAGCAUGUGGUUUAAUUCGAAGCAACGCGAAGAACCUUACCAGGUCUUGACAUCCUUUGACCACUCUAGAGAUAGAGCUUUCCCUUCGGGGACAAAGUGACAGGUGGUGCAUGGUUGUCGUCAGCUCGUGUCGUGAGAUGUUGGGUUAAGUCCCGCAACGAGCGCAACCCUUAUUACUAGUUGCCAGCAUUAAGUUGGGCACUCUAGUGAGACUGCCGGUGACAAACCGGAGGAAGGUGGGGACGACGCCAAAUCAUCAUGCCCCUUAUGACCUGGGCUACACACGUGCUACAAUGGAUGGUACAACGAGUUGCGAGACCGCGAGGUUUAGCUAAUCUCUUAAAACCAUUCUCAGUUCGGAUUGUAGGCUGCAACUCGCCUACAUGAAGCCGGAAUCGCUAGUAAUCGCGGAUCAGCAUGCCGCGGUGAAUACGUUCCCGGGCCUUGUACACACCGCCCGU
rnacentral:rRNA from 1 species